GGACGGGUGAGUAAUGUCUGGGAAACUGCCUGAUGGAGGGGGAUAACUACUGGAAACGGUAGCUAAUACCGCAUAACGUCGCAAGACCAAAGAGGGGGACCUUCGGGCCUCUUGCCAUCGGAUGUGCCAGAUGGGAUUAGCUAGUAGGUGGGGUAACGGCUCACCUAGGCGACGAUCCCUAGCUGGUCUGAGAGGAUGACCAGCCACACUGGAACUGAGACACGGUCCAGACUCCUACGGGAGGCAGCAUG
rnacentral:rRNA from 1 species